CCUUACUUUGUCCGUGUCAACAAACAAUUCGAAAUACCUCGACUUUUUCAGAACAGGUCCGAGUCAAAUAGCAAUGAUUCGAAGCACUUCUUUUUCCAUUACACUAUUUUGGAAUUUUUUUUUCUGUUCUGGCUCGGUUAUUCCAUCUAG
rnacentral:rRNA from 1 species